GGAGUUUGGCAGAGGGGGGUGGAAUUCCACGUGUAGCAGUGAAAUGGUAAAGGUGUGGAGGAACACCAAUGGCGAAGGCAGCCCCCUGGGUCGAUACUGACGCUCAUGCACGAAAGCGUGGGUAGCAAACAGGAUUAGAUACCCUGGUAGUCCACGCCCUAAACGAUGUCAACUAGGUGUUGGGAGGGUAAAACCUUUUAGUGCCGUAGCUAACG
rnacentral:rRNA from 1 species